rnacentral:rRNA from 1 species
CCUACGGGUGGCAGCAGUGGGGAAUAUUGCACAAUGGGGGAAACCCUGAUGCAGCGACGCCGCGUGAGUGAAGAAGUAUUUCGGUAUGUAAAGCUCUAUCAGCAGGAACGGGACAAGACGGUACCUGACUAAGAAGCCCCGGCUAACUACGUGCCAGCAGCCGCGUUAAUACGUAGGGGGCAAGCGUUAUCCGGAAUCACUGGGUGUAAAGGGAGCCUAGACGGCUGAGCAAGCCUGAAGUGAAAGGGGGUGGCCCAACCCCUGGACUGCUUUGGGAACUGUACGGCUGGAGUGCAGGAGAGGUAAGUGGAAUUCCUAGUGUAGCGGUGAAAUGCGUAGAUAGUAGGAGGAACACCAGUGGCGAAGGCGGCUUACUGGACUGUAACUGACGUUGAGGCUCGAAAGCGUGGGGAGCAAACAGGAUUAGAUACCCCGGUAGUC